rfam:Lunatimonas lonarensis strain AK24 S14_contig_3, whole genome shotgun sequence.
UCAUCGGAUGCCGAAAAGAUGUUAGUAGAGUAGGCA